rnacentral:rRNA from 1 species
CCGUAAACAAUGAGUGCUAGCUGUUGGGUGGUUUACCAUUCGGUGGCGCAGCUAACGCAUUCAGCACUCCGGCUGGGGAGUGCGGUCGCAUGAUUAAUACUCAGAGGAAUUGACGGGGGCCCGCACAAGCGGAGGAGCGUGGGUGUUUAAUUCUGAUGCAACGCGCAAAACCUUACCACCCCUUGACGUGUAUAAGACGAUAUCAGAUAUGGUAUUUUCUUUUCAGAGACCUUUACACGGGCUCUGCGUGGGUGUCCUCAGCGCGUGUCGUGAGAUGGUGGGUUAAGUCCCGCAACGAGCGCAACCCCUGCCUCUAUUUGCUAUCAAGUUUAUGUUUUUACCUAUAUGUUGGGUACUAUAUAGGCACUGCCGGAGAUAAGCCAGAAGAGGGUGGAGAUGACGUCGAGUCCUCGUGGCCCUUAUGGGCGGGGCUACACACGUGCUACUGUGGUGGUUACUGUGGGUUGCGAACUCGCGAGGCAGAUCUAAUCCCCAAAAGCCAUCUCAGUUCAGAUUGCACUCUGCAUCUCGAGUGCGAGAACUCAGACUCUCUAGUACUCGCAGAUCAGCGUGCCGCGGUGAAUACGUUCUCGGGCCUUGUACACACCGCCCGUCACACCGUGAGAGUUGGUUUUGCCUGAACACUGUGUGCUAACCGCAGGGAGGCAGCCGGCCACGGUAGGGUCAGCGACUGGUGUGAACUCAUAACAGGGUAACC